CUCAGCUUUAUUGACCAGUUGAUGAACAUUAGAGCUACUCAUAGUUUAGAAGAAUUGAGUUCUGAAGUUCCCCAGGGGCCUCGCAGAUUUCAUGGGUCUUCACUCAGCUCUUUGUGUAUCUGCCUUUUCCAUGUUUGUGCCAUGCCUGAAUACGCUGGUUCUGAAUAUUCCAGUGUUCCUGAUGAACAGACAAAAAUUAAAGAGGGAAUACAUUCUAAUCAAAACUACACUGAGAGGUUUCCCUGGUUGCCAAGGAAGAACUCAUGGGGCAGAGCUGUGAGUAUACAUCAGAGCAAGGGGCAAUCCAUCACUGAGUGAAUGGCACCUCCUAGGCUCUAUUACACCAUCCGUCACCUAAGCAAGUUGUUGCUCUAAUGAUAUAUUAGUGUAAUAAUCUACUCAAGAUACAUCAGUGAUGCAUUACUCAAAAGAUGGCCCUAUUUAUGGAAGUGUGGCUCCAGGAAGCUCUUGAGUACUUGUGGAGACAGUUGGAAGAUUUCCAUGGAAUCUAAACUCAGCCAAAAAGCACAACACAAUGGAAGGCAUUUUCUGAGCAGCAGAGAGGAAUCCUGGUUUGAAAUAAAUCUGUUGUCAUCUUUAUAAUAAAUCUUCAGCCC
rnacentral:lncRNA from 1 species